rnacentral:rRNA from 1 species
UACGUAGGAGGCGAGCGUUGUCCGGAAUUACUGGGCGUAAAGCGCGUGUAGGCGGUCUGAAUAGUCUGCUGUGAAAGCGCCUGGCUUAACCGGGCGAGGUCGGCGGAAACUCUCAGACUGGAGGCCGGUAGAGGGGGGUGGAAUUCCCGGUGUAGUGGUGAAAUGCGUAGAGAUCGGGAGGAACACCUGUGGCGAAGGCGGCCCCCUGGGCCGCGCCUGACGCUGAGACGCGAAGGCUAGGGGGAGCGAACGGG